AGAGUUUGAUCAUGGCUCAGGACGAACGCUGGCGGCGUGCUUAACACAUGCAAGUCGAACGGUGACGGAGAGCUUGCUCUCCUGAUCAGUGGCGAACGGGUGAGUAACACGUGAGCAACCUACCCUUGACUCUGGGAUAACAGUUGGAAACAGCUGCUAAUACCGGAUACGACCCUGACAGACAUCUGUCGGGGUGGAAAGCUCCGACGGUCAAGGAUGGGCUCGCGGCCUAUCAGCUUGUUGGUGAGGUAACGGCUCACCAAGGCGACGACGGGUAGCCGGCCUGAGAGGGCGACCGGCCACACUGGGACUGAGAUACGGCCCAGACUCCUACGGGAGGCAGCAGUGGGGAAUAUUGCACAAUGGGCGAAAGCCUGAUGCAGCAACGCCGCGUGCGGGAUGACGGCCUUCGGGUUGUAAACCGCUUUCAGCAGGGACGAAGCGAAAGUGACGGUACCUGCAGAAGAAGCACCGGCUAACUACGUGCCAGCAGCCGCGGUGAUACGUAGGGUGCGAGCGUUGUCCGGAAUUAUUGGGCGUAAAGAGCUUGUAGGCGGUCUGUUGCGUCGGAAGUGAAAACUCAGGGGCUUACCCCUGAGCCUGCUUUCGAUACGGGCAGACUUGAGGGAUGUAGGGGAGAACGGGAAUUCCUGGUGGAGGGUGGAAUGCGCAGAUAUCAGGAGGAACACCAGUGGCAAGGCUGUUCUCUGGACUUGUCCUGACGCU
rnacentral:rRNA from 1 species